CCUCCAGUAGCUCAGCGGUAAAGCAGGGAGGAAAGAUGACUGACAAGUCGACAUUCGACGAGGAUAUCUCCCCGUCGCUGGUUCGAUUCCAGCCUGGAGGU